ensembl:lncRNA
UGUUGCUAUGUUCUCGAGGCUGGUGCACAUGUACAGUGCAGCUGAUUACAGGCUGACGGGGAGGCUGGGGGGCCGGGCUGCACGACACGCUGUCUGCUGCAGCUGGAGACUGUCGGGAGCUCCUCUGGUGUCGACGCAUCCCGGCCGGCAGAGUGCUGCCUGCUGCUCUGCAGCGCUGCCUGUGCCGAAUCGGCUCCGAGGGGGAAUUCCUCUGUGCCGCCGGUGAGCAACCCCUGGGGUGUUCUGCUGUACUGCUGAUGCUUAGCAUAUGGAAGCUGAGAAACAGAUGUAUGCGAUGAGGGCCGCUCUGACGAUCGUCUGUCAAACCAUGGGCAGCACCAGGAGGAGCACCCCGGGUCUUCUGGCUCUCUGUAGCCCACCCUGAGCACUGCAGCCUGCCUUCUGCUGCACAUGGUGUGAUUCAUAAUGCAGAGGCUCUGCUGUAAGCUGGCUGCCUCUUUGUGAGCUGCCGCUGCUGCAGCAGAGAAAAGCGUUUGAGCUCAGGCAGCAAAGAGAUUGUGCAUGUCUAGCAAAUAGUCAGAACUCCAGAAACAGUGCUUAACAGAUUAUCUUAUCUUGGGAUAAUCUCAUAAAGCAUACUGACUGGUUAAAACUACGCUUUGAAGUUUGCAGCAAACAUCUCAAAUCUUUACCCUUUGUGACUGUGGGCUUUUUGUUUGUUGUUUCCUCCAUUGUCUGUACAAAAAUACCACUUCACGUAUUCUUUUUGAUAGUCUGUGUUCUAGCCUUUCUGGAAAAGUACCAAAUCAUUAAUGGGUAUUCGUUGCUUUUAGUUGUGCUUCUCAGUGCUAACCCUAUUCCUGCUAUUUGCAGUUUGUUUAGGCUAUGUUUAGGCACAUGCAAAUGUAAGUGGUUAUUCAGCGCCUUUGGCGUUCUGAACAGAAUGUCCUGAACUCCCGUGGCUCCUUACAAAGCCUCAGCCUCCAGCACUAACAAAGCCUGUGACGGCAGCAGCUGAAGCAUGAGAACUACCUGCCCUCGACAGGGUGAAUUCGGAGAAUCUGGGAAGGUUGUAGACCAUGAUCUCAUGCAUGGUCUGCCUGCAGCACUGGAGCUGGGCUGAUGCAGCAUUGCAUGCGGUGUGUGGAUUCUUCUGCAGCAUGAAGUUUUUCUCUGGCUGCAUCAACACUUGGGUUCAGUGUGUUCCUGAAUUAUAAUGGAGACUUCUACAAAUAAUGCAGUAACUGGAAGUGAAGCAAAACCGUGUGAUGCUGCGGCCUCCCAAGUAUCUGCUGGCAGCAGCCUGGGAUUUUUACAGUUGUUUAUCUUGUUGCUCAGCCUAUUUUAAGCUCUGGUGGACCAACAACAGCAGAGUAACGACAGAUCACAGUGCUGGGCACAACUGUUUAGCUCCUAAAACCCAUGCUUUAAGCUUCAGACUUGCUUUAUAUUGUCAUGUGUUCAGUAGCUUCAGACUUGUGGCUUCAGGCUCGUAUGCUCUUUGCUGGCUCUUGCAUGAUGUGAGGGAGCCCUGAUUCACCCCGAGGAGUGUGGUGUAUCCAGGCAAGAAAGAGGCUGCGGCAGUGAUGGAAAGCGCACGCUGUGCAGGGCAGGGCCCAACCUCAUCCUUGGUCCAGCUCCCACGAUGGAGAUACAAAGAGGUUUUUAUCUCCCAAGUCUUCUUAUUGGAUCUUCUUUAUCAUCUGUUCAUUU